UACGGGGGGGGCAAGCGUUGCUCGGAAUUACUGGGCGUAAAGGGCUCGUAGGCGGCCAACUAAGUCAGACGUGAAAUCCCUCGGCUUAACCGGGGAACUGCGUCUGAUACUGGAUGGCUUGAGUGUGGGAGAGGGAUGCGGAAUUCCAGGUGUAGCGGUGAAAUGCGCAGAUAUCAGGAGGAACACCGGUGGCGAAGGCGGAUCUCUGGGCCAUUACUGACGCUGAGGAGCGAAAGCGUGGGGAGCGAACAGG
rnacentral:rRNA from 1 species